CCAAUAGUGUAUAUUAAAGUUGUUGCAGUUAAAAAGCUCGUAGUUGAAUUUCGGGAUCAAUAUUUCGGUCAUGCCGUUGGUAUGUACUGAUAUUAUUGGUUUCUCACCUUCUAAAGAACCGUAAUGCCAUUAAUUUGGUGUCACGGGAAAUUAGGACUGUUACUUUGAAAAAAUUAGAGCGUUUAAAGCAGGAUCACACU
rnacentral:rRNA from 1 species